GGUCCUUGAAGGCACCAUCUAACUUUCUCCCACGCUGCACAGAUAGACUACUAAACUGUAUUUUUUUCAAUUUUUCUUUCAUAUUUGGUCCCAAAUGUUCAUACUAUGUGGGAAUGCAGAAAGGUAACAAGCUGUUUUUGCGAUUUAUGAGGAAGCCGCAGUACCUGGAGAAACGCGUCACACCACGCAGGGAUGCCCCCCGACAGUGUGAGGCUGACAUGCUAACCACUACGACUCUUUGACAAGGUCACUGACACAAGAGGAUCAUGAGGGUGCGCCACUGCCGUCAUGACAGCAGGAUAGCAGAAGAACGCUCAGGCAUCUCUUUCAUAAAGUUAGAGACAUGAAG